UACGUAGGGGGCGAGCGUUGUCCGGAGUUACUGGGCGUAAAGGGCAUGCAGGCGGUCGGACGCGUUUUGUGUGACAGCGGGUGGCUCAACUACCCGAGCAUAGGAAAGACGGUUUGACUUGAGGACUCGAGAGGGACACGGAAUUCCGGGUGGAGUGGUGAAAUGCGUAGAGAUCCGGAGGAACACCGAAGGCGAAGGCAGUGUCCUGGCGAGUGACUGACGCUGAGGUGCGAAAGCCAGGGGAGCGAACGGG
rnacentral:rRNA from 1 species